rnacentral:rRNA from 1 species
GAUGAACGCUGGCGGCGUGCCUAAUACAUGCAAGUCGAGCGAACAGAUGAGGAGCUUGCUCCUCUGACGUUAGCGGCGGACGGGUGAGUAACACGUGGAUAACCUACCUAUAAGACUGGGAUAACUUCGGGAAACCGGAGCUAAUACCGGAUAAUAUAUUGAACCGCAUGGUUCAAUAGUGAAAGACGGUUUUGCUGUCACUUAUAGAUGGAUCCGCGCCGCAUUAGCUAGUUGGUAAGGUAACGGCUUACCAAGGCAACGAUGCGUAGCCGACCUGAGAGGGUGAUCGGCCACACUGGAACUGAGACACGGUCCAGACUCCUACGGGAGGCAGCAGUAGGGAAUCUUCCGCAAAGGGCGAAAGCCUGACGGAGCAACGCCGCGUGAGUGAUGAAGGUCUUCGGAUCGUAAAACUCUGUUAUUAGGGAAGAACAAAUGUGUAAGUAACUAUACACGUCUUGACGGUACCUAAUCAGAAAGCCACGGCUAACUACGUG